ensembl:lncRNA
AAUGAAAAUUAUUCAUAAACCUGCCACUCAAAGAUAGCCACUGUUUAUCAGAAGGUACUUUUUUGUUUGCGUUUUGGGGAUUGACUCCAAGGCCUUCACACUGUGCUACAGCCCCAUCCCUUUUGUUUGUUUGUUUGUUUUUCCUUUUUUCCUUUUUUAUAUUGAGGCAGAGUCUUGCUAAGCUGUGCAAUUGUCCAGGAUAGGCUCGAAAUUUUGAUCCUCUUGCCUCAGCGUACCAGAGUGCUGAGAUAACAUGCAUGUGCUACCAUACCCAGCUCAGAAAGUACUUUUUAUUUGAUUCCAGAAGAACAUGUAAUUGUAGAUAAAAACCUCAUAUUUUAUUUAUUUCUAGUACAAAUUUGUUGGAUACCAUGGAAUCAAAGAUAAAUAAAAUGGGAGAUAGGGAUGUAGCUCGGUGGUAGAGCACUUGCCUAGCAUACUCAAGGCCCUGGGUUCCAUAAUCAGCACUGAAGAAGAAAAAAGAACAUAAGAUGAGCUAAUGGAACAUUGUGUAAACUUAGUUCUGAAUGAAAGCUUAUACAUGUUUCAAUUUGAUUUGGACUCUAAGGACCAGCACUUACUACAUUAGAUCCUCUUUGCUUCCUCUAUUCUUAGAAAGUACUUCUGCACAUUCAAACUGAUUUGUAGUGACAGAAAGCUAACUAAAACUACCUUAUGGAAUGAAAGGAGAUUUAUUGGUUCAUUUAACUGGUGAGAGCAGAGGUGAAACUAAUUGCAGGGUAAACUAAAUUCAGGGAUUUAAUGUUAUCUUGCUUUCCAUUUCUCCUUUCCUAGAUUUAUUUCCUCCCGCCUAUAGGCAUUAGGAGUCAAAGUCACAGGCAGUUCCAGACUUAAAUCAUCUCUGUGAUCUUAGAGAUUGGCAGGUUGGCCAGGCCUGAGUCAGGUUAUCUUCUUGUGGUCUUAGGGAUAGUGCACUGUCUUAAUUCCCUUUCUCAUUGCUGAGACAAAAUACCCAACAGUAUCAGCCUCCAAAAUGCUGGGAUCACCAGCAUGCACCACUAUACCUAGUGUGAGACUUUUUUUUUUUUUGAGACUAUUAAGAGAUUAAGUCUCACUGUGUUGCCCAGGCUCUUCUGGAACUCCUGUGCUCAAGUGAUCCUUCUGCCUCAGCCUCCUGAGUAGCUGGGAUUACAGGUGUGUACCACCAUACCUGGCUUACAGCAGUGUUUUAAGUUACCUAAAGUUAAAGCUUAUUUUCCCAAAACUGAUUUUGCAGUAGCAUAAAAAAUUUUAUUAUGAGAGUAUAUCUAGCUAGCUGAAGAGAACAGAAGGAAGUACACUAGUAAUACUAAUUUUCAUAUAAUUUGCUACAGACAGAAAUGCUUUAAAAGGUGCCUUAAUAUUUUAUAAAAACUAAAUUUUGUUCCUUUGAAUGAAUAAUCUCACUCUGCAGAACCUAGAAAUAAAAUGAAAGUCACCCUCAAUGUCCCAUUGUGCUUCAAUAUGUGAAAAGAAAUGCUUUAAAUAUCAUAGAAGGAGAAGUAUUAACAUGGUUACCCUAACACCAAUACCCUAAAACUUCUUUUUGGUUGUUUUCUUGAGACAGGGUCUCACAUUAUAGCCCAGGCCACCCUCUACCUGCCUUAGCCUCCUGAGUGCUGGGGUUACAAGUGUGUACCACCACACCUAGCCUGAGAUCCUAAAAUAUUUUUGUCAUACAAUUUCUGUAGGAACAUUAAGGGUGCCUAAUUCAGGACAGUAAAACUCAGCUUCAUCUUACCUCAGCAUUCCUUUAGUCCUGCACACCUUGUCUAUCUCUCCUGAUAUCUACCCCCCCCACCCCAUCAAACAUGGCACAUACUGUGAUCCCAGCUACUCAGGAGGCUGAGGCAGGAGCAAGUUCUAGGCCACCCUAGGCAACUUAGAGCCUGUUUCAAAAUUUAAAAAGGGCUAGGGAGGUAGCUCAGUGUUACAGUGCCCCUGGGUUCAACACACAGUAACACACAACACACACAGUAGUUGUGCACACCUAGUAGGCUGAAGCAGGAGGAUCACAAGUUCUGGGCCAGCCUGGGAAUUUUGAUAAGACUGUGUCUCAAAAUGAAAAUAGGACUAGGAUGUAGCUCAGCAUUCUCUAGGUUCAGUACCUACUCAGUACCAUGAAAACCAGCCCCUUCCAUUAGGGGGCUGUGAGAGGGUAGGGGUGUGGCUCAAUGAUAGAGCACUUGCUAGGCAUGCAUAUUGCCCUGGGUUUAAUCCCCAACACCACGAAAACAAACAUUAAAUUAUCCAGGUAGCAGUUUAUACUUGUCUACUCUUUCCAUGACCUGAGAAAAUAGAGGUAAUUAAAUUUACUCUGGUAUUUUACAUAUUAGAGAAUACUUCAUUUUUUUCCACUUUAAAUGUUUAAAUUAAUCUUAGGGCUGCUGAUUUAUCUCAGUGGUUCCGGUGCUUGCCUCGAAAGCCCAAGAUCCCAAGUUUGAUACCCGGUACCAAAAAAAAAAGAUAAAGAAUAAACUAAUCCCACAUGACUUCAUUCUCUUAAAAAUAAUAAAUAAAGGGCUGGGGAUUUAGCUCAGUGGUUCCAGCGCCUGCCUUGCAAGUGCAAGGACCCGAGUUCAAUCCCUGGUACCAAUCAAUCAAUCAAUCAAUCAAUCAAUAUGGGGGGCUCAGUUUACUGAAAGUCUAAGAUUAUCAAGUUACUCUGCUCAACUGUCCAAUUCAUAGUUUCAAGAUCUGCAAAGAGAGCUCUACCCUUUUUUUUGUGGUAUUGUGGCUUGAACCCAGGGCCACCUUUGUUUAUUUAUUUAUUGAGACAAUGUCUUGGAGGAUUGUCUGAACUGGGCUUGAACUUGCAAUCUUCCUGCUUCAGCCUCCCAGAGGGCGAGGAUUGCAGGCAUGAGUCACCACACCUGGCCAUAGCUCUUCUUUACAUUGAAUAGCAAUUACACCACUGCCCUUAUCCUAAUUUUUUUUAAGUAAACAAAAAUGGCAUUGAUGCACUUUUGGAUUACUUUGUUCUACUUUUUAAAGUAGAUAAAGUGAUAGUAUUCCAAUAACUCAAGAAAAACAGAUUAGAAAAUUAGAAACCAUAGUAACAUAAAACAUUGAAAACUUUUAGCAUAACCAAAUAAAAUUUUAUCAUGAAUAAUUAUACGAAUUACCAGUAUCCAAAAUUCACUGAAGUUAUCCAAUUACAAAAAGGAAUAUUAAAGAGGAAUCAAAUAUCUUAAUGUAUCAAAGGUCUCACAUGGUAUAAUAGUACAGUGAGCAUGCCUUUUUAUGUUCAUACUAACUAAUCAGUUUUAAUUGGUAUAAUUACUACUUUGCUCUUCUACUAUUCAUUGUUGCUGAAUACAUAAUUUCAUCACAGGUUAUAAUUCAUUCUUUGGCAGUAUGUUAGUUGCAAACCCAGCAUUUUCAAUACAUGUUUCCUUUUACAGAAUUUGUAUUAUAAAGAAUGCAGUGUAAAUCCCUCUACUUCAGUGUUUAAAACUUGAUAGUUUCGGCUGGACACAGAGGCCCACUCCUGUAAUACCAGCAUUCUGGGAGGCUGAGGCAGGAGGAUCACAGGUUUCAUUCCUGCCCGGGCAAUUUAGCAAGACUCUUGAAGGAGAGAGAUUGAGAAGGAGGAGGAGGAGGAAAGGAGGGGGAGAAGGAGGAAGUAAAGGAAGGAAGGAAGGGCAACCAAGUGGGGCAUAGUGGUGUACACUUUAGAAUCCUUGCACUCUGGAUUACACUGAGGCAGGAUAGCCACAAGUUCAAGGUCAGCCUGGGUUACACAGAGAGUUCACAGCCAGUGUGAACUACAUUGUGAGACCCUGUCUCAGAAAAAUCAGAGAAGAAAAAUGAAGGAAAAGGCUGUGAAUGUGAUUUAGUGUGAAGGUCCUAAAUCAUCAUUACUCUCUGGGGCAUAACACAUUUUUUGUCUUAAAGGUGCAUAAACAUAGGUGUGUCAAACACAAGUUUAUUCUUUAGAAUAGUUCUAUUGAUGAACUAUUAAUUUUAAUUUUAUGAGUUUUAUGAGUGCUUAACAGGAAAAAAUCACAAAUAUAAAGUAUUUCAUUUUUAAUAUUUAUUGAGUGUUUAUAAAAAAGCAUCAAAAAUUUCAACAUCAACUGGUUUUUGGUGUACAAAGUCUAAAAGAUAACAUUAGAAAUAAAAACCUAUGUGAACUAUAGUGAAAAUACCAAUGGCACGCUAUAAAAAAAAACAACCGGAGCCAGGGAUUUAGCUCAGUGGUUCCGGUGCCUGCCACACAAGCUCAAGGUCCUGAGUUUGAUCCCUGGUACCAAAAAAAAAAAAAAACUUUUACUUCAGUGAUCACACCUAAAUCAGUCUUCAUACAUGACAACAGCACGUUCCAUACACAUGUAUUGUUUACACUGGUAGCACAUGUAUUUUGCUUUCCUGGCCUUUUUGUAGGACAUACUUGACAUCUUUCUGGUCUUGCUGUUUAAUCAGGAGGUUCUUGUAUUAUAGUAUAGUUAACAGGAACAUAAAAUAUCAAUAAAAUGAAGUAUUAAAUUCUUAAUGUGUAUUGUGCGUUUAGAAUAAACAACAUUUUC